ensembl:ncRNA T11F9.30 ncRNA
UUCGAGAUUUUUUGGCGAAAAAGGUCAAAGAGCUGAGGCACUUGAUGCUUUUCUCCAUUCGACCAAAAUUUUGAUCUUGGAAGAAUAUGUCCAAAUUGAGUUUUACGUCCGAAUUGAAUGUUUGAAAUUGUCUAAGAUGGGACGAAGAGUGAAAGCAAAGGACUUCGGAAAAAGGGGAAAAGAUGAGAGAACAUUUUGUUUGAUUGGAGGACAAACUUGUUUCAGGCAAUUUAAAAGAGUUGAA